UCCUCCCUCUUUCGUCGUGCUUAACACAUGCAAGUCGUACGGUAAGGCCCUUUCGGGGGUGCAGGAGAGUCGCACGGGGGAGUAACACGUAAGUAACCUGCCCACAACUUUGGGAUAACGCUAGGAAACUGGUGCUAAUACUGGAUAUGUGCUCCUGCUGCAUGGCGGGGGUUGGAAAGCUCCGGCGGUUGUGGAUGGACUCGCGUCCUAUCAGCUUGUUGGUGGGGUAGUGGCCUACCAAGGCGGCGACGGGUAGCCGGCCUGAGAGGGUGACCGGACACAGUGGGACUGGGAUACGGGCCAGAGUCCGACGGGAGGCAGCAGUGGGGAAUCUUGCACAAUGGGCGGAAGCCUGAUGCAGCAAGGCCGCGGGCGGGAUGACGGCCUUCGGGUUGGAAAACGAUUUCAGCAGGGACGAAGCUUUUUGUGACGGUACCUGCAGAAGAAGCACCGGCUAACUACGUG
rnacentral:rRNA from 1 species